GAUGAACGCUGGCGGUGGGCCUAAUACAUGCAAGUCGAACGAACAGACGAUGAGCUUUCUCUCUUACCGUUAGCGGCUGACGGGCGAGUAACACGUGGAUAACCUUCUUCUUUUUCUUGGAGAACUUCGUGAGACCGGUUCUAAUACUGCAUCAUAUGUUCAACCGCUUGAUUCAGUAGUUCAUCACGGUUUUCGUGUCUCUUUUAGCCGAUUUCGCGUCGGAUUAGCUAGUUGGUAAGGGAACGGCAUACCAAGGCGACGAUGCGUAGCCGACCUGAGGGGGUGAUCGGCCACACUGGAACUGAGACACGGUCCAGACUCCUACGGGAGGCAGCAGUAGGGAAUAUUCCACAAUGGGCGAAAGCCUGACGGAGCAACACCGCGUGAGUGAAGAAGGUCUUCGGAUCGUAAAACCCUGUUAUUAGGAAAGAAAAGAAGUGUAAGAAACUAUGCACGUCCUGACGGUACCUAAUCAGAAAGCAACGGCUAACUACGUG
rnacentral:rRNA from 1 species